rnacentral:rRNA from 1 species
UGAGGAGUAUUGGUCAAUGGAGGCAACUCUGAACCAGCCAUGCCGCGUGCAGGAAGAAUGCCCUAUGGGUUGUAAACUGCUUUUAUUUGGGAAUAAACCUCUCCACGUGUGGAGAGCUGAAGGUACCAAACGAAUAAGCACCGGCUAACUCCGUGCCAGCAGCCGCGGUAAUACGGAGGGUGCAAGCGUUAUCCGGAAUCAUUGGGUUUAAAGGGUCCGCAGGCGGACUAAUAAGUCAGUGGUGAAAGCCCAUCGCUUAACGAUGGAACUGCCAUUGAAACUGUUAGUCUUGAAUUCGGUCGAAGUGGGCGGAAUGUGUCAUGUAGCGGUGAAAUGCAUAGAUAUGACACAGAACACCGAUAGCGAAGGCAGCUCACUAGGCCUGAAUUGACGCUCAGGGACGAAAGCGUGGGGAGCGAAAGGG